UACAGAGGGGGCAAGCGUUAUUCGGAAUUACUGGGCGUAAAGGGCGCGUAGGCGGGCCUGUAUGUCGAUUGUGAAAGCCCUGGGCUUAACCUGGGAAUGGCAGUCGAAACUGCAGGUCUUGAGUGCCUGAGGAGGAUGGCGGAAUUCCCGGUGUAGAAGUGAAAUUCGUAGAUAUCGGGAAGAACACCUGAGGCGAAGGCGGCUGUCGUGGCGGUGCACUGACGCUGAGGCGCGAAAGCGUGGGGAGCAAACAGG
rnacentral:rRNA from 1 species